rnacentral:rRNA from 1 species
AGUGAACGCUGGCGGUAGGCCUAACACAUGCAAGUCGAACGGCAGCACAGUAAGAGCUUGCUCUUACGGGUGGCGAGUGGCGGACGGGUGAGGAAUACAUCGGAAUCUACUUUUUCGUGGGGGAUAACGUAGGGAAACUUACGCUAAUACCGCAUACGACCUACGGGUGAAAGCAGGGGAUCUUCGGACCUUGCGCGAUUGAAUGAGCCGAUGUCGGAUUAGCUAGUUGGCGGGGUAAAGGCCCACCAAGGCGACGAUCCGUAGCUGGUCUGAGAGGAUGAUCAGCCACACUGGAACUGAAACACGGUCCAGACUACUACGGGAGGCAGCAGUGGGGAAUAGUGGACAAUGGGCGCAAGCCUGAUCCAGCCAUACCGCGUGGGUGAAGAAGGCCUUCGGGUUGUAAAUCCCUUUUGUUGGGAAAGAAAAGCAGCAGGUUAAUACCCCGCUGUUCUGACGGUACCCAAAGAAUAAGCACCGGCUAACUUCGUG